UUAUUCUAUUUUCUUAAGCUCUGUUAACAUGGUAUCAAGAGCCAUGGAUCGAUCCUGAGUUCUUCUGCUUCCGCUGUCUAUGCCUUGACAUUCUUUUCUGGAACUCCAUGGAAAUCGACGUCAAUAUCUGCUUCUUCCACAUCAUUUUGGAUUCUCAAUUUCGUUGAACUGAAUCAAGAUGGUUACCCCAGAAAUGUUGGGGUUCAUGAUAGAACUUAGGAAGGUUGUUACAGUGGCCAUUGUGGGAGCGUCUGACCUUUCUAAGAUAACAGAGUAGCUUGGGAAGACAGAGCUUGAGGACAUUUCUUGGAGAAGAGAAUCUGAAGGGGUACAUUUAUAGAGUUCCGAAGUGGGAUGCUUAAUGUAUCACCAAUUGGGCAAAACUGUAGCCAAGAAGAAAGGGAUGAAUUUGAAAGAUAUGACAAGGUUCAGAACAUACGCCCGAGAAUGGUAUCCGUCCUUCGCGAGAAGUUUGCUCACCUGAACCUGACAUUUUCCAUAGGAGGACAGAUAAGCUUUGAUUUACCACCAGCCCUGAAGAUACAAUCAAGCAGUGCAAAGCCCUCUUCGUUCCAACUUUUCGGUUUUGUAUUAUAUGCCAUUUUCCAAACAAGAAUAAGUUAUAUGCCAUUUGUAAUUCUGUAUUUGAGAAUAAAUGUUAAGCAGAAAUCUGAAAUGUGUAAUAUUAUUAUU